CAUUAUGUUAAAAAACGUGUUUUAAUCACACAACAUAAAACAUGUUCUUGAAUCAUGAUUUCUGCACAUUCAUGUUGUUUAUUUAUUUGUGUUAAAGCGUCAACAAGUGACAACACAGAGGAAGAAAACGAGUAGGAUUUUCAUCAGCAGGAAUAUGGAUGGUCGCCCCGGGUCCCCACGUGUUAAAGGAUGGUGGUGGUCCCGUUUCUCCCACCUUGUGUUUUCUUUUUUUUUCUCGGGGGGGUGAAAGAAUUACUUCCAGGGCACAUCAACUCGUUUCCUCAUCACCCUAACCCCCCAGCACCUCUUCCCAGCCCCUCCACAGGCUUCCAACAGCCCCACCAAGCCCGCAGGGUGAAUGUGUUUGUGCAGAGAGAGUGAGUAUGGGGGGUGGGGGAGCAAGAGUCUUCAAUAAUGCUGCCUUCAAGUGCAGCCCGCCUGCUCAUAUUUCAGAUUUAUAGGAAAAAUACGUUUGCCUUUGUAUUUACUGUUGGAGAUAAUAGUUUAUUUACCUCUAACUAAAUAUGCAGAUUUUUUGUAUGCCUGUUGAUUUAUUUAGCAAAUGAUUGACAUGAAAUAUACAAUGUGAGUCUAUACUUUGAGUGCAAGUGCUUGAUUUUUUAAAUUAAAUUAUUAAAUAAACAUUGUUAAAAUGUACUCUUUUAGCUGAUGUAUGACCACUGAAUAAAUGAAACUACAGCACCACAGAGAACUCCAGUUAUAUUUAAUCACAUUUUGUUUGGUAAUCAAUCGUGCAACCAUAGUUGUCACAUUUCCGACCGAACAUGAAAGCAUCAAAAGCCUUUUGGCGUGUUCAAUACAGAAGGAGCGGGGUAGAAAAUGCCUGUUGUUCAGAGGGAAAUGCCUCCUAAGCCACCAUAGGCUUACCUGUUGCUGCAGUGUGGUGAAGCAGUGAGUGAACAUGGUGUAGUGAGGCUUUUCCUGUCAGAGAAGCUGUGAGGACAGUCAUCAUGCUGGACCUAAACUCCGCAGCUUCUCAUGUGAGGAUGCUGCAAAACAAACUGACACUGGACAAGAAUAGAUGAUAGAGAGAAACACAAGGUUGAAGAUGGAUGAGACCAUCUAUGGAACCUUUCACAUGCAGAAACCGACAUGACAGCAGGGGCAGCCUCCAGAACAGCCACUCCCCUGCAUGUCUCUGGCUACCACACACCUAAUCAGUCCUGAUUAGAUGCACUGUAAGGGACAAGGAAGCCAGCCUUUCAGAAGUUAUGAUGACAGGACGGAAGAAAGCAAUGGGCUCCUUUAAAUAAAGCCUUCAUCAGGCAUUGAGCAGAAACAUCUGUGUCUGUUGAUGCCUGCUGGGUAUAACAGUAGUCAGAUCACCAACUAUUCCUCUGGUGUCAUCCCAAAUUACCUCUCCUUCCUUUAACACCCUUUACCUCACAGCUCCUCUUUUAACACCAUAGCUUCAUAAUCACACACUCUCAAGCCUCCAAAUAAAUACACACACAUGCACUUAUCAAGUUCUGGCAAGCAUUCUCAGCCCCAUCUACCCAAACCUAAGCGAUCCAAAAUCAGCAUCAGCGAAUACAAUGGCAAUUAGUAAGGGGGACAAUUUGUUCACAUCUGGAGUGUAUUUCCUUGCCACCAGAAUAACCAGCAAUCCUUUCUUUCAGGGCCUGGCGUGGUGGGAAAUGACUAUGUGUGUGUUUUUAUGUGUUUUGUUUAAAACAGAUGGGCGGUUUACAUUAGUGGAGAUGGGCGAUAAACAGCUUUGAAAGGAUUGGGGUGGGGUGGGGGGGGGGGGAGACACAAAGAGAGAGACACCACCAUCCCUUCCAGUUUUUACAGACAUUGGACUGAGGCACGUUGUGGACAUACAUUAUUUUCUCACUCAGUUUUGUUUGGGCCAGCAUUUCCUUAAUUAUAGCUGUGUAAAAAUAGGUUGUUACCCUAUAUAGUGUGUUUUAAUGAGCCAUGGGUCUCAGGGUGAGGCUAAAUUUAUUCUGUUUUUACCCAAAAGGCUUAAGAAUUUCUGCUUUCACCAGGGUUUAAAAUAUAAAUUAAUAUUUGGCUGUAAUUCUACCGUAAAUGCCCAGUGCCACAGCACGGCCAACAGCCAAGCAUAUUUACUUUAGCACAUACCCCAAAUGUCUAUGUGAUUACUGUGCAAAGCACAAAUGUUGCGCCACAUGCUAAUACCUGUUCAGAUGAUGUCAAACACAGUGGUGUUGCACUGAGAGAUAACCAGUGAUCACAUCCUGUGUAUAUCAUCCAACCACUGAGCAUCUGGUGUGUGAUAAUUUCAGGGUUCACACAGGCACAGCAAAGGUGGGGAAGUCUAUCUCAGCUGGGACCGACUCCUCUGUGAUGAGCUGGGGUAUCAGGUCACAGUCAGCCCACACCAGCGGUCUGCAGCAGGUUGAUAAGGUGGAUGGGUGGAACACAUCUAUGUCAUGAAGGCACGCUGCUGCCAAAGGGAGAUCCAAGCUGAGAGGAAACUAAAAAUAAUGACAAGAGUUUUAAGGGUUAGGUCAAGUUUUCUUAACAACUCUUAAUCUAAAUAAAUCUUCAAAACCUGACAUUAGAUAGAUUUCCUGACUUUCAUAUUCACUCUUAGUUUUAAUCUACAUCACUAAGGUAAGCUACAGCCAAAGGAGGACCCUGACUGGACAAAUAAAGAAAGACAUUUUU